UUUAGAUAAAAAGAAAUGCAUAGAAAUAAUGGAUUUUAAGUAAAAAAUCAUGAAUGCUGCAUAGAAAACACAGAGAUCACCCUGGGAAGAGGAAAACACCUUGAUUUUCUAACUCAGCCUGUGCAAAGUGGUGAGAAAUUCAGUGGGACAACAAGAUCUUAUUUUGAGUAUGCUGUUUAGCAAAAACUCCUUCAGUGAAAUUCCUGAAUUGCCUUUCACUACAUUUGGGUUCAAGAUGUGGAAGAAAGUUCCCAAAGGAGCCCAUGCACUUGUAGCCCCUACCUGGACCCCCAGGAAGUGGAAGGUGCCCACCAACUCACAGGACGGAGGAGGAUAGUCAGAUGAGACUGACCCUGAAGCGAUUAAAUGGCAAUUUUCAGAGGAAAAAAAUUGAGAAAAUCUUGAAAGAUUUUCUCCAUUUGGAGCAUUUUUUAUUUUGUGGAAAGAAGAAGGCAAAAGUCCAAAUCCUGGGCAACCAGAUUCCAAGCCACAUCCUGAUAUCCACGCAGGGAGGUAAAACCCAGAAGCAAAACAGAGAUUUACCUUCUAAGCGAUGCAAAGCAGGAGGCAGUGUGUAAGUGUUCCUUGCGAUCUGUGACAUCUUCAUCAGGUAGUUCAGGAAGCUUCCAGGAGCCUGCAGACGUGGUUUCUAUGACACUAUGCAGGGUGCACAUGAGCAGAUGCCACUCCGGGGCCAUCAAUCUGCUCACAAUCAGGAUCUAAUAUGAGGCCUCAGCAGGAGCCUGAGACAAGCAAAGAGAUGCAAGAAAGGAACUGCUCUGCCUUUCACAGGUGUCAGAACUGCAAACACAGGACUGCUUGCAAAAAUCCAUAUGACAAUCACCGUGCAAGUACUUUGUCUAUACAACAGGCCAGCAUAAUUCAAGGGAAGUUUGCCCUAACAGUGGUUACAAAGCAGACUGGAGGAGCCACCAUGCUGCAGCUGACACACUGCAGACCCGAGGUACAGGCAGAGGUACAGGCAGACCCGAGUUCAGUCUUGCUACUCUGUGCAUGUGAGUCAAACCAGGAGUUUGCAGAGUUUGAUUAA
rnacentral:lncRNA from 1 species